rnacentral:rRNA from 1 species
UACGAAGGGUGCAAGCGUUACUCGGAAUUACUGGGCGUAAAGCGUGCGCAGGCGGUUGUGUAAGUCAGAUGUGAAAUCCCCGGGCUCAACCUGGGAAUUGCAUUUGAGACUGCACGGCUAGAGUGUGUCAGAGGGGGGUAGAAUUCCACGUGUAGCAGUGAAAUGCGUAGAUAUGUGGAGGAAUACCGAUGGCGAAGGCAGCCCCCUGGGAUAACACUGACGCUCAUGCACGAAAGCGUGGGGAGCAAACAGG